rnacentral:rRNA from 1 species
AUUGAACGCUGGCGGAAUGCUUUACACAUGCAAGUCGAACGGUAGAGGGGGCAACCCCUUGAGAGUGGCGAACGGGUGAGUAAUAUAUCGGAACGUGCCCAGUCGUGGGGAUAACGUAGCGAAAGUUACGCUAAUACCGCAUACGAUCUAAGGAUGAAAGCGGGGGACUCGCAAGAGCCUCGCGCGAUUGGAGCGGCCGAUAUCAGAUUAGGGUAGUUGGUGAGGUAAAGGCUCACCAAGCCGACGAUCUGUAGCUGGUCUGAGAGGACGACCAGCCACACUGGGACUGAGACACGGCCCAGACUCCUACGGAGGCAGCAGUGGGAAUUUUGGACAAUGGGCGCAAGCCUGAUCCAGCAAUGCCGCGUGCAGGAUGAAGGCC